rnacentral:rRNA from 1 species
AGUUUGAUCAUGGCUCAGAUUGAACGCUGGCGGGAUGCUUUACAUGCAAGUCGAACGGCAGCACGGACUUCGGUCUGGUGGCGAGUGGCGAACGGGUGAGUAAUGUAUCGGAACGUGCCUAGUAGCGGGGAUAACUACGCGAAAGCGUAGCUAAUACCGCAUAGCCGCCCUUCGGGGGAAAGCGGGGGACCUUCGGGCCUCGUACCACAGGAGCGGCCGAUAUCGGAUUAGCUAGUUGGGCAGGGUAACGGCUCACCAAGGCGACGAUCCGGCUGGUUUGAGAGGACGACCAGCCACACUGGGACUGAGACACGGCCCAGACUACGGAGGCAGCAGUGGGGAAUUUUUGGACAAUGGGGGAAACUCCCCUGAUCCAGCCAUCCGCGUGUGCGAUGAAGGCCUUCGGGUUGUAAAGCACUUUUGGCAGGAAAAGAAACGCACGACAGCCACUCCCGCGUGCAACUGACGGUACCUGCAGAAUAAGCACCGGCUAACUACGUGCCAGCAGCCGCGGUAAUACGUAGGGCAAGCGUUAAUCGGAAUUACUGGGCGUAAAGCGCGCAGGCGGUUCGGAAAAGGAAAGACGGAAUCCGAUAUCAAUCUUGGAACUGCAUUUUUAACUGAGCUAGAGUGUGUCGAGGGAGGUGGAAUUCCGCGUAGUGCGCGAAAUGCGUAGAUACGGCGGAGGAACACCGAUGGCGAAGGCAGCCUCCUCGGGAUAACACUGACGCUCAUGCACGAAAGCGUGGGAGCAAACAGGAUUAGAUACCCUGGUAGUCCACGCCCUAAACGAUGUCAACUAGCUGUUGGGGCCUUCGGGCCUUGGUAUGCAGCUUAACGGGCAGUGAAGUUGACCGCCUUGGGGAGUACGGUCGCAAGAUUAAAACUAAAAAGGAAUUGACGGGGACCCGCACAAGCGGUGGAUGAUGUGGAUUAAUUCGAUGCAACGCGAAAACCUUACCUACCCUGACAUGUCUGGAAUCCCGAAGAGAUUUGGGAGUGCUCGCAAGAGAACCGGAACACAGGUGCUGCAUGGCUGUCGUCAGCUCGUGUCGUGGAGAUGUUGAAGUUAAGUCCUGCAACGAGCGCAACCCUUGUCAUUAGUUGCCACGAAAGGGCACUCUAAUGUGAGACUGCCGGUGACAAACCGAGGAAGGUGGGGAUGACGUCAAGUCCUCAUGGCCCUGCCGGGCAGGGCUUCAUACGUCAUACAACGGUCGGGACAGAGGGUCGCCAACCCGCGAGGGGGAGCCAAUCCCAGAAACCCGAUCAGACGGGGUCCGGAUCGCAGUCUGCAACUCUCGACUGCGUGAAGUCGGAAUCGCUAGUAAUCGCGGACCAGCAUGUCGCGGGUGAAUACGUUCCGGGUCUUGUACACACCGCCCGAAGUCACACCAUAAGUGGGUUUACCAGAAGUAGUUAUGCCUAACCGUAAGGAGGGCGAUUACCACGUAGGAUUCAUGACUGGGGUGAAGUCGUAACGGCGGU